rnacentral:rRNA from 1 species
UACGGAGGAUCCAAGCGUUAUCCGGAAUCAUUGGGUUUAAAGGGUCCGUAGGUGGACGAUUAAGUCAGGGGUGAAAGUCUGCAGCUCAACUGUAGAAUUGCCCUUGAUACUGGUUGUCUUGAAUCAUUGUGAAGUGGUUAGAAUAUGUAGUGUAGCGGUGAAAUGCAUAGAGAUGACAGAGAAGACCAAUUGCGAAGGCAGAGCACGAACAAUGUAUUGACACUGAUGGACGAAAGCGUGGGUAGCGAACAGG